UACGGAGGGUGCAAGCGUUAUCCGGAUUCACUGGGUUUAAAGGGUGCGUAGGAGGGCAGGUAAGUCAGUGGUGAAAUCUCCGAGCUUAACUUGGAACUGCCGUUGAUACUAUCUGUCUUGAAUAUUGUGGAGGUGAGCGGAAUAUGUCAUGUAGCGGUGAAAUGCUUAGAUAUGACAUAGAACACCAAUUGCGAAGGCAGCUCGCUACACAAAUAUUGACUCUGAGGCACGAAAGCGUGGGGAGCAAACAGG
rnacentral:rRNA from 1 species